CAUGUUUUCUAUAAAUAUAGGCUGAUCGAGUUGUUAUGACAAAACCAGCUUGCCUCCAUGAACAUGAAGCUGAUUUUAGUCUCUCUCUCUCUCUCUCUCUCUCUCUCUCUCUCUCUGCCCAGAAGGGAUAUGUUUGAGAUUGAUUGAUCUAAAAAGAAGGUGCAGACAUAUAAAAAGAAGGUGCAGAAGUACCAGAUAGAGAUGACAUGUAGAAUUAUGUAUAUGGGGUGAGUAGAUUCCAUGCUAUGCUUGUCAGGCGAGCAGUCCUCUCUUGGAUUAACCUUGCUUUCGUUGUCUGUUCGACCUUGAACACUAUUUAAUUUUGAUUGCAUAAAAACCCAAGCUAGCUAACUGCAAGAGUGUUCAACUUCCUCAAUUCAUUUACAAUAUGAUAAAGUUACAGAGAAAAUUCACCCAAAAAUUAAUAAAUCAGAUGAUCGCUUUCUUUCUUUUUUCUCGACAAAUUAACUCAAAUUAUUGUAUUCAGGUGGAUUUAUAGUUCGUGCACCUUCACAAUUUUAUGUCAAUUUAGGUCGUAUGCCGGUCAUCCAUGAAAUUCGUGUGAUAUAUACCUAAGGAAUUAGCUAUAAUUCUGUUUGCAUGAAAAUGCAUGUAAACAUAUGUUUAUAUGUAUAUAUGUAUUUUUUGUGUUGUUUGUUAGGUAUAAUCGUACAGUAGAUGUGUAGACAGAUACAACCUUCUAGUCUAGAGCUUUGCAUGCGACUUUCAGGUGCACUGAGAAUUCAUAAGCAAAAAUGGUUUGAAUAGAUGGAUAGAGUAGUACUGAGGGAGUCUGCAUUCAAUUUAACUCUCCAAGGUUGUACUUUUGGCAUUUAAUUGACAGAAUCAUUUUCUAUAUAGAUCAUAGUGCUGCGUAUCUAGGUCAAGAUUGAUACCAAUUUAUACGAUUGUAUUUGCAUUUCAAGAUUUAACGAUUGUAUUUGCAUUUCACUUAACAAUUUUCACUGAGAGGUAUAAGUUAUAACAGGUGUAUAAUACUAAGGUUUUAAAAGUGAAAAUUGUUAAGCAUAAGGCCGAUGUCAGAAUGUUGUAGGUAGGAUCUUGUGGUGAUAUUUACACCUACGGAGCAAUAGAUCAGUUUGUUACUUGAGUUAAGUAGCUUAUUGAGUCCAUAAUUGAAACCAGGUUUAACACCCGUUCCCUGAUUAGUAUGGGUUACGGACUCCAUCAUUAAAAUAUAAAAGAGAAAGGGGAAAAAAAUAUCUAACUUGAUGAUCGAUUGUAAACAGGAUUUCCUGUAAACUACGAUUUACUACGAUUUUUCAAUGUCUAUUAUAUUUUUCAAUGUCUACUACGAUUUUUUUUUAGGGAAACAGGAUCGGGUUCCAUACUACUAAGAUAAAUAGUCAAAUACAUUAAUAAUAUUCACUAUAAAUAAGAAAGGGAAAAUUCUUAUUGUUAUGUGAAUUGUUUAGUUAAUUGGUAAGGCACGUACAAUAGGGUAAAGCUAUAUGUGGUAGGUUAACAUUUCUCAUACAUGCCUUAUUUUAUUUAAUAUUUAUCAUUUUGAGGACUAGUAUUAUCACUUUGAAUACUCAUGUGGUAAUUAGAAAAAAUUUAUCAGUAAGGUAAAUAAAGUCCUCCUUAGCGUAAAGUAGGUAACUAUAAAAAAAUCAUCACUAAGAUAAAUAUGGUCCUCAUUAGAAAAAGAAAGAGAAAUAUCCUAAUGUAAUAUUUCCAAGGUGCAUUUAUAUGUGUUUUUUUUUUUGCGUUCUCAUCUACGUAGGAUGUAAUCUAGCUGGUGUAGAUUUUAGAACGGUUAGUUACGUUGGUCUCACUCCACAUUCAUAUGGGUUAACCUGAGCUAGGUUCCAAUUCCAACUCAUCAAUUAAAAUCAUGGUAUAUAGUUAUAUACCAUGAAAGAGGACACACAUAUAUAUUUAUAUGUAUCUUCCUAUGUAAGGAGGUUUUAGAGAGGAUUUUCUCACAUUUGAAGUGUAAGGACCCUAAUAUUGUAAGCAUAUAUAACCUGAGGUCAGAAUGAAUAUAUGUUAAUCCAUCGAGUUCAAGGUCGAUCUGACAAUGAAUGUAAGGUAUAUGCAAGGGACUGUUCACUUGACAAGGGUUUGCAUGGAAUUUGACACCCCACCUCCAAUUAGUGCUCUACCACUGCCAUCUGUUUUAUAUUCCAGCUACAUACAAUACCCAAUUAUAUGUUGUCUUCAUCAAAAAGUUCCAUAUCAACAAGAAGCUAGUUCCCAGUUUGACAUAGACGACGGAUCUCCUCUCUCUCUCUCUCUCUCUCUCUCUCUCUCUCUCUCUCUCUCUCUCUGUGGAAUUAGGUCAAUAGUGUUGGUAAAUCUUCUUUUUUGUUGUAAAUCUUCAUACUAGUUGUCUCUUGAUAUUGUUAUGAAUCAUAAUUAUCGGUCUUAUGAGUUA